rnacentral:rRNA from 1 species
UACGUAGGGGGCAAGCGUUGUCCGGAAUCAUUGGGCGUAAAGCGCGCGUAGGCGGCCCGGUAAGUCCGCUGUAAAAGUCCAGGGCUCAACCCUGGAAAGCCGGUGGAUACUGUCGGGCUAGAGUCCGGAAGAGGCGAGUGGAAUUCCUGGUGUAGCGGUGAAAUGCACAGAUAUCAGGAAGAACACCAAUGGCGAAAGCAGCUUUCUGGGACGGUACUGACGCUGAGACGCGAAAGCGUGGGGAGCGAACAGG